CAGCAGCCGCGGUAAUACGUAGGGUGCAAGCGUUAAUCGGAAUUAUUGGGCGUAAAGGGCUCGCAGGCGGUCUCUUAAGUCUGAUGUGAAAGCCCCCGGCUCAACCGGGGAGGGUCAUUGGAAACUGGGAAACUUGAGUGCAGAAGAGGAGAGUGGAAUUCCACGUGUAGCGGUGAAAUGCGUAGAGAUGUGGAGGAACACCAGUGGCGAAGGCGACUCUCUGGUCUGUAACUGACGCUGAGGAGCGAAAGCGUGGGGAGCGAACAGGAUUAGAUACCCCCGUAGUCCCUGUCUCUUAUAC
rnacentral:rRNA from 1 species